rnacentral:rRNA from 1 species
AUGUUUGGGACUGUUUUUGUUUUGCCACGAUGGUGGCCGUUGGAUGUCCGGAGUGGCAUCGGGGCAACCCAUGACUUAGCUCGAAGGGGGAGUUUGUUGGAGUGGUCGGGAGAGUGUCAUGCAAUAGAUAGGUUUUGUCAGAAUGCUGCUGGUCCACCCAAAUGGGAGUACGAGGCCUUGGGUUCCGUAGUGUGGGUACAGUGUACUAACCUCUGCAGGGUGUAUAAUCUAUGUAUAGCCGCGCCCGUGGAUAUGAGCCCAGUUCGUAGUAGGUCACACUAUGGGUCAACAGUAAUAAUAACCUGA